AGGGUUUCAAGUUUGGCUUCAGA
rnacentral:siRNA from 1 species